rnacentral:rRNA from 1 species
GACGAACGCUGGCGGCGUGCUUAACACAUGCAAGUCGAACGGAAAGGCCCUGCUUUUGUGGGGUGCUCGAGUGGCGAACGGGUGAGUAACACGUGAGUAACCUGCCCUUGACUUUGGGAUAACUUCAGGAAACUGGGGCUAAUACCGGAUAGGAGCUCCUGCUGCAUGGUGGGGGUUGGAAAGUUUCGGCGGUUGGGGAUGGACUCGCGGCUUAUCAGCUUGUUGGUGGGGUAGUGGCUUACCAAGGCUUUGACGGGUAGCCGGCCUGAGAGGGUGACCGGCCACAUUGGGACUGAGAUACGGCCCAGACUCCUAAGGGAGGCAGCAGUGGGGAAUAUUGCACAAUGGGCGGAAGCCUGAUGCAGCAACGCCGCGUGAGGGAUGACGGCCUUAGGGUUGUAAACCGCUUUCGCCUGUGACGAAGCGUGAGUGACGGUAAUGGGUAAAGAAGCACCGGCUAACUACGUG